rnacentral:tRNA from 1 species
GCAGGCGUGAUCUAGUCUGGUCUAGGAUUUUGGCCUUCCAAGCCAACUGCCCGGGUUCGAAUCCCGGCGCCUGCA